UGGGGAAUAUUGCACAAUGGGCGCAAGCCUGAUGCAGCCAUGCCGCGUGUAUGAAGAAGGCCUUCGGGUUGUAAAGUACUUUCAGUCGGGAGGAAGGUGGUAAGGUUAAUAACCUUGGCAAUUGACGUUACCGACAGAAGAAGCACCGGCUAACUCCGUGCCAGCAGCCGCGGUAAUACGGAGGGUGCAAGCGUUAAUCGGAAUUACUGGGCGUAAAGCGGACGCAGGCGGUUGAUUGAGUCAGAUGUGAAAUCCCCGGGCUUAACCCGCGAAGUGCAUCUGAUACUGGUCAGCUAUAGUCUUGUAGAGGGGGGUAGAAUUCCAUGUGUAGCGAUGAAAUGCGUAGAGAUGUGGAGGAAUACCGGUGGCGAAGGCGGCCCCCUGGACAAAGACUGACGCUCAGGUGCGAAAGCGUGGGGAGCAAACAGG
rnacentral:rRNA from 1 species